rnacentral:lncRNA from 1 species
CUAAAUUUAGCAACAACAUUCUCAUCAUUCCCACAAUUCAAUCAAAAUUCAUGGGUUUAACAUCAUCAUUUUCAUCAUUCACACAGUUCAAUCAAAUUUCAUGGGUUUAACAUCAACAUUUCAUCAUUUCAACAAUUCAAUCAAAUUUCAUAGGUUUAACAACAACAUUUUCAUCAUUCACACAAUUCAAUCAAAUUUCAUAGGUUUAACAACAACACUUUCAUCAUUCCCNNN